GAUGAACGCCGACAGAAUGCUUAACACAUGCAAGUCCACUUGAACUUCGGUUUGGGUGGCGGACGGGUGAGUAACGCGUAAAGAACUUGCCUCACAGCUAGGGACAACAUUUGGAAACGAAUGCUAAUACCUGAUAUUAUGAUUAUAUGGCAUCGUAUAAUUAUGAAAGCUAUAUGCGCUGUGAGAGAGCUUUGCGUCCCAUUAGCUAGUUGGAGAGGUAACAGCUCACCAAGGCGAUGAUGGGUAGCCGGCCUGAGAGGGUGAUCGGCCACAAGGGGACUGAGACACGGCCCUUACUCCUACGGGAGGCAGCAGUGGGGAAUAUUGGACAAUGGACCGAGAGUCUGAUCCAGCAAUUCUGUGUGCACGAUGAAGUUUUUCGGAAUGUAAAGUGCUUUCAGUUGGGAAGAAAAAAAUGACGGUACCAACAGAAGAAGUGACGGCUAAAUACGUG
rnacentral:rRNA from 1 species